UACAUGUGGGGCAAGCGUUGUUCGGAAUUACUGGGCCUAAAGGGUGCGUAGGCGGUUUGUUAAGUCAGGGGUGAAAGUUUUCGGCCCAACCGGAAAAUUGCCUUUGAUACUGGCGAACUUGAGUGCGUGAGGGGUAACCGGAACGAGCAGUGUAGCGGUGAAAUGCGUAGAUAUUGCUCGGAAGGCCAACGGCGAAGGCAGGUUACUGGUACGCAACUGACGCUGAGGCACGAAAGCUAGGGGAGCAAACAGG
rnacentral:rRNA from 1 species